UUUCAUGGUGGCUGUGCGCGGGAGACCUUCGGGUCUGCCGGUUCCAUUCCCGGUUCGCCAACCUGCGUACAGCUGCCACCCAA
ncrna:unclassified sequences C4 antisense RNA